CAAAUUUUAGUUCCAAUAUUCAUGCUUAAAUGAAAUACAUCUACAACAUUUGAGAUGCUAAAUUUUCUAGUAAAAUUUAUAAAUUCAAAAGCAAGAACAAAGCUUGUAACAUUUACAACAUUUAAAUCACAAAAUAUGAAAGUCACAAAACCCAAAAGGAUUCACCAUAAACUAGGCCUAGGCUCUGAUACCACUUGAAGGAAAAAUUUUGUCCUAGCUUAGAACAAGUAUGAACAUUUGAAUACAUAUGCAUACUAUUAACUCAUUAAUAUAGGCAUGCAUCCAAAAACAAUUC
rnacentral:lncRNA from 1 species